UAAAGCCUAUGAUGGUUAGUCAUCUCUGUCUGAAAAAAUCUCAGCUGAGGGAAAACAGUCUGUUCUGAGGCUUUA
rnacentral:snoRNA from 1 species